AGUGGUACGCGAGCUGGGUUUAGAACGUCGUGAGACAGUUCGGUCCCUAUCUGCCGUGGGCGUUGGAAGAUUGAAGGGGGCUGCUCCUAGUACGAGAGGACCGGAGUGGACGAACCUCUGGUGUUCGGGUUGUGUCGCCAGACGCAUUGCCCGGUAGCUAAGUUCGGAAUUGAUAAGCGCUGAAAGCAUCUAAGCGCGAAGCGAGCCCUGAGAUGAGUCUUCCCUGACAGUUUAACUGUCCUAAAGGGUUGUUCGAGACUAGAACGUUGAUAGGCAGGGUGUGUAAGCGUUGUGAGGCGUUGAGCUAACCUGUACUAAUUGCCCGUGAGGCUUAACCAUACAACACCCAAGGGGUUUUGUA
rnacentral:rRNA from 1 species